rnacentral:rRNA from 1 species
UACGUAGGGGGCAAGCGUUGUCCGGAUUUAUUGGGCGUAAAGAGCGUGUAGGCGGCCAUGUAGGUCCGUUGUGAAAACUCGAGGCUCAACCUCGAGACGCCGAUGGAAACCAUGUGGCUAGAGUCCGGAAGAGGAGAGUGGAAUUCCGUGGUGUAGCGGUGAAAUGCGCAGAUAUCAGGAAGAACACCCGUGGCGAAGGCGGCUCUCUGGGACGGUACUGACGCUGAGACGCGAAAGCGUGGGGAGCAAACAGG